ensembl:lncRNA novel transcript, antisense to BAHD1
GCAGGGCAAAGGAGGAAAGCCAGAGAAAAGGCCUCAAGUCUAGGAAGAGGAAGUCAAUGCUCUGGAAGCCAGACUCUGGCUCUCUAUGCCUCAAAGGAACAAGCUCAGAGCUGUGCUGGGAUCUAGGAAAGCCUGGUCCCAGGCUGAAGGGGAAGCGGCGGGUCACAGUGGGUGAGGCCACACUGUUCUGGUCCUGAUGUCGCGAUGCAAACACUUCAUUCUGCAAGGGCUCAAAGGGAGACAGGUGGAGGUUGUUACCAGGGCUGGAAAGCACCUCAUUCCCAGAGCAAGGCAGACAUUAACCCCUCUGCUGGGCCUGCUGACCUGAGAUGACUCCAGCAAGCUUCCCUGGAAAUUCAGCCUAAGCAGCUCACCUCGUGCAUGCUGGGACUGCGGCCUCCCUGUAAGUGCUCAGGUCUGUAAUACCACAGGAGGCUCAUCAUCAGCUCUCCUGGAAGGACAACACAGUGGUUAUGGCUUGAACUGGCAACCUGAGUUACUUAGACAGGCAGAGAGGCUGGCUGGCUGCCCUGGAGGUUCAUCCAACCUCAAUCCUGCAGGCUCCGGCAACCCAUGUCCCCUGCCCCAGGCCAAGCAUUCAGAGGCCUGGAAUGCUGUUAGGCAUGGAGGGAGAAGGGGGAGAAGGCACUGACAGGUGAGGUGGGGGGACAGGUGCCCAGGCUCUGCUGGCUGGAAAGGUUAAUGAGCUGAUCCAACCCAAGCCACAAG